GACGAACGCUGGCGGCGUGCCUAACACAUGCAAGUCGAACGGAAAGGCCCUGCUUUUGUGGGGUGCUCGAGUGGCGAACGGGUGAGUAACACGUGAGUAACCUGCCCUUGACUUUGGGAUAACUUCAGGAAACUGGGGCUAAUACCGGAUAGGAGCUCCUGCUGCAUGGUGGGGGUUGGAAAGUUUCGGCGGUUGGGGAUGGACUCGCGGCUUAUCAGCUUGUUGGUGGGGUAGUGGCUUACCAAGGCUUUGACGGGUAGCCGGCCUGAGAGGGUGACCGGCCACAUUGGGACUGAGAUACGGCCCAGACUCCUACGGGAGGCAGCAGUGGGGAAUAUUGCACAAUAGGCGGAAGCCUGAUGCAGCAACGCCGCGUGCGGGAUGACGGCCUUCGGGUUGCAAACCGCUUUCGCCUGUGACGAAGCGUGAGUGACGGUAAUGGGUAAAGAAGCACCGGCUAACUA
rnacentral:rRNA from 1 species